UACGGGGGGGGCAAGCGUUGUUCGGAAUUAUUGGGCGUAAAGGGCUCGUAGGCGGUCUGUCGCGUCGGGAGUGAAAUCUUACAGCUUAACUGUGAACUUGCUUUCGAUACGGGCAGACUUGAGGCAUUCAGGGGAGAACGGAAUUCCGUGGUGUAGCGGUGAAAUGCGCAGAUAGUCGGGAGGAACGACCAGUUGCGAAGGCGGAGCUGACUGGACCCAUAGUUCGACGU
rnacentral:rRNA from 1 species